UUAAUAUAAGAGUAGCUGAGCCAGUCCUGUCACUACUGGCAGUGGCCUAGAGGAUGCCUAGAAAAUAGCCAGCACGUAGUGAUUGCUGCUUGGGAGGAUCUGCUUGUUCUGAAGGUGUGAGACACUCAGAGUUCCUGAAUGACGUGCAGAGACCCGAGUAUGUCACAGGAAACCCUGCAAGGGUGUUCUGCUGCAGAGAAACAAAGACUGCAAUCUCAAGCAUCUACUUUGAAGACACCCAGGAAACAUACCAACUUAAUGUAGCCAGGAUCUGCAUUACUAUCCCUAAGAAGACUUAAAUCUUUGGAACUUAGAAGAGAAACUAUUCUGUGCAGCAUGAUAAACCUGUCAGGAAACAGAAGACAAAGUCCUAUCUGAUCUAAGGUUGUGGAAAGCUUUCCAACUCACAAGAGAAGAAUUUAAUGGGGGAAUUAACAGACAGAGAAGGAGAAAAAGAGGAAAAAAGUGCAUAAUGAGAACUGUGCUCAUAACAUAUAGAAAGAUUGUACAGCAUCGUGUCCAUGAACUUCCAGGGUUCGCAUUAAAACCUGACAGAACAUCAGAGUGCCAGAAGCUUCUCAUAUUGUGGCUCUGGAGGUAUGUGAUUUCUUCAUGGAAUGGGGAGCCAGCUGAAAAUGAGUGAUAAAUAGGAUGAGAAAAGAACUCUAACAUCAGAAACAUAAAGUGAGCGAUCUUAAUGCCUCAGAAUUCCUUAGGCAAUUUGCAUCUCCCCGUAGCACCCGCUUUAGUCCCUCAGGCAGCAGCUCGACAUGGACCCCGUUUGCCAUCACCUGCGUUGCGCCCCGGAAAGAGCUGCUGCGGUGCCCGUGCGAAUGGCAUUGCGGUACCUGCGGACGCACUGAGCACAAAUCCUCAUCCUGCUAACCCGGGAGCAGAGCAGUCCAGCCGGCACAGGCAGCGCCCUCUGGUGGCGGAACACGCGAAGCGCAGCCGCAGCUCCGGCCCAGCGUCAGCUGCAUGCAGC